CAUAAACAGAACGAUUUAUUUAUAAAGAUGUAAGUACAUAUAGGCUGAUGAUAAUUUGAGUUACGAUAUGUUAUGCUAACAAUUUUAUGGGACUACAGGUUUUGAGAUCUUUGCUUUCCCAUGCAACCAGUUUGGUGGGCAGGAACUUGGCAUUGAUAAGGAAAAUGUUCAGAUUGAUUUCUGACAAGGUUUUUUGGUUUCGUCACUCCUUUGUUAUAUGGAAGAAGACUUCAUGGUAGAAGAUAGCGACAGAGUGCUGCCA